UGGCGACCGGCGCACGGGUGCGUAACGCGUAUGUAACCUACCUAUAACAGGGGCAUAACACUGAGAAAUUGGUACUAAUUCCCCAUAAUAUUCGGAGAGGCAUCUCUCCGGGUUGAAAAACUCCGGUGGUAUGAGAUGGACCCGCGUCUGAUUAGCUAGUUGGUGGGGUAACGGCCUACCAAGGCGACGAUCAGUAGCCGACCUGAGAGGGUGACCGGCCACAUUGGGACUGAGACACGGCCCAAACUCCUACGGGAGGCAGCAUG
rnacentral:rRNA from 1 species